AGUAAACUUCUCUCCGUGCAUUUUUCUUUAGUUGAAGCUCUGCAGGCGCUCGUCGAUAGGAAAAAUCGAAGCCAAAAUCGCUCUAGGAAUCAAAGUGAAGCAAUAACAAAAACAAGCAAACAAAAAUUAAAAAAUAAGAAAAAAAUACAGACAAUUGAUCAUAUUUAUAAAAAAUAUAUAAUACAUAUCACAAUUAAAAAUUAAUAACGAACAUCAUUUCAUGCUGUAGAAAGAUAUGGAAGAAACAAUUAUUUUGUUGUAUAAAAAUAAUAAAACGCACACACAUAUCAAACAUUCAAAAAUCACUGCAUUGAGGAGCAUUACUGAUUUCAAAAUGGCGUUGCCUCUUUAUACUUUCAACGUUCGAAAAUAUUUUUUGAAAAAAGAAAAAAAAAAAGAAAGAAAGAAAAGAAAAGAAAUGCGAAUUGCAAAAACAUGCUAUUGCAAAACAUUCACAACGAUUGCUGUAUUUCUCUUUAUAACUUGUUUCCAGUCAGCACAUCGUAAAUAAUAUAUACAUGUGAAAGAAAUAGAUUUGAAAAUUUUUAGCACAAUGAAAUACAGAUAUAAUAUUCGAUCUAAUCAUGACAUAUAAACGAUAUUCAUAUCUCAAAAAAUAAGAUAAUCGACAAUAUCAUACUGGCUUAGUUAUAUUUAUUUCUGUAUGAUAUUUCUACGCGACACGCGAUAAAAUAUAAUAAUAAUAAUAAAAAAAAGAAAUAGAACAAAAAAAUAUUGUGCAUAAGAAAUUCCAUAUGCAUGAAAAAUGCUAUGGAAAAAGUGAAAACAUAAAAAUUUAUUACGGCUAUUAUUUGCAAUACAUGCAUUUGCAAUACAUGUAAAUUAAGAAGAGAGAAAAAAGAAGAAGAAGAAAAAGAAGAAAAGAUUAAGAUAUUUAAUUCCAUCAAAUUAGGAAAAUAUUGAGGGUUGUAUGAACAAAUAGUUGCAAGAAUUAGGAUUCAGAGAUCAAAGAUCAUAAGGCAUUAGGAAAGUGAGAAAACUGAGCUGAUUUUGGCUCCAACCUGGCUGGUUCGAAGCAGCGGUGUCUGCAACGCUCCUAGGUUCAACUUCGGCAGGACUGGGACUUAGUUCCUUAGCAGGAUCACCGGAGGAAGUAGAGUGGGAAUGACCGUAAUGGUAGACCAGACCAGGUCUGGUUUUAUACCGUGCGCUGCAUACUGCAAAAGUGCAAAUACUGUUUUCCCACAAACCAUCCAAUGCAACGUCCAUGAUAAGAGAAAUCUUGGUCGACGAGUUGGUUGGACGAUAUGGGAGGAUGUAUUCGUUUAACCGCCGCGUCAAAAAUCUAUUCUCAAAUCUUUUACAAUAACAAAUAUCACACAGGAAGUAUAGAAGAUAGGAUAGAAUAAGAUAGUCGUAUAGAAAAAUAGAAAAGAUGUUCUUGAAGAAUUUCAAGAAACGAGGCGGUUAAAGUAUUCUAGGAUAAAAGCUUACGGAUUAGGGACAGCAUUUGCACACCUUCCGCACCAGUACAUAUCCCUAUCCACCUACGAAUCUAUAUGUGGACAAGCAGUGAAGGAGUUCCAGCCCAAGAAGCAAAACUAAUACGAUGCAAGGCUUGAUGCUUGUAUACUCCUACAGAAUGAGCUCGCUACAGUGUGAGCCAGUACAUUCUUGCUCUGUUAUUGGCAGGUAGUAUAGAAGUCCGAAGAUAUUUGGCCAAUUUCGUAAGUUCGAUG